rnacentral:rRNA from 1 species
GACGAACGCUGGCGGCGUGCUUAACACAUGCAAGUCGAACGGAAAGGCCCUGCUUUUGUGGGGUGCUCGAGUGGCGAACGGGUGAGUAGCACGUGAGUAACCUGCCCUUGACUUUGGGAUAACUUCAGGAAACUGGGGCUAAUACCGGAUAGGAGCUCCUGCUGCAUGGUGGGGGUUGGAAAGUUUCGGCGGUUGGGGAUGGACUCGCGGCUUAUCAGCUUGUUGGUGGGGUAGUGGCUUACCAAGGCUUUGACGGGUAGCCGGCCUGAGAGGGUGACCGGCCACAUUGGGACUGAGAUACGGCCCAGACUCCUACGGGAGGCAGCAGUGGGGAAUAUUGCACAAUGGGCGGAAGCCUGAUGCAGCAACGCCGCGUGCGGGAUGACGGCCUUCGGGUUGUAAACCGCUUUCGCCUGUGACGAAGCGUGAGUGACGGUAGUGGGUAAAGAGGCACCGGCUAACUACGUG